UCUGUCAGUGACGGUCGGCACCUCUUGCGUCGCGAAUCGGGAGUUGAGACGUAGAUAUCGCAGUGAAGAAUUAACGUUUUCUGGUUCAAAUAAUCAAAGUCUUAUGUUUAAAUUCUUACGUCGAAAGUAACAUUCGAGUCACGUUGCAUCAGUGGCGGUUUUAAUUAACGUAAUAAUCAACGAUAUCUCGGAGGUUUGCGAGUGAAUAAGUGGUAACAAGAAUACUGACGCGUUUGCGAGGAAGCAGUUUCCAUUUCUUUCCAUACAAGCACGCCACCUGGUACGUCUAAGAUCGUGUAAGGACGAGCGAGGACGUGGAAGGAAGAAGGGGAUGAGGAUGCGUGGCGUUGCAGGCUGAACAAUUGUUGCAUCAAGAUCCUUCCGGCGUAUAAGAUUGCAAUUAGAGCUAACAAGAUACUCGGAUACCCGUCGGAUAUCCGGGUAAGUAAAAAUUACUCGGCUAGCCGAGUAUUCUACAGGAUAUCCGUACGCAUGAGAUAGUCGAGAGAUGCGCCCUUUCCAGCCUGCAAAACCUCGACUAUUUCAUGCGUCGGGUAACUCGCGAGAGGUGCCCGUGUGUUCGGGUAAUUCUUCAUCACCCGGGUGUCUCGAGAAAUGAACAGCUCUAGUUGCGUUUACACAGGAACUGCAAAUGUCACAGACGUUCGACGAGCUUGAGGAUGGUUGACUAGGUUGGUGGCCGGGUGUACUCGGUGAGGAUGACCCUUCUUUCUUCAAUUUACACGUGGACGAGGAGAGAUGUAGAAAAUCGACCGAUGGCGGCAGGGAGGCUGGCGCGCGGCUCUUACGCGACGACGGCAGCGUCGACGAAUUGUACGACGACGAGGAGUUCGAGGAUGGUAGUAUUGACGGCGACCGAUCCAACGAGGGAGACUUGGUCGCCUGUAUUGACCGGUUCGAUGGCGACGACAGCCGCAUACACCGUAGAAGGUUGAGUCAAUCAUUGAGCAGACCUUGAGAUACGCUGAUCAGCUGUUCCUUCAGCACGCGGAACGAUGGUCGCACCUCGGGGCAAUGGGCCCAGCAUUUUCGCAUCACCUGCAACCAUCGUCGAGUCAUCGUGAUAAGCGUGCAGACCGAAACCGGCCGACUCGCCAAGCCUUGGGAUUGCUGGAACAGUUUCGAGCACCGACGAUAUGUUGUACGGGAAGCCAAGGCAGGAUCGGGAUCAACGAUAUCCAGGGACCUUUCGGUUCGCUCUCCUACGACAAUUACUUCAUCUGUGCGGCAAUAAAUAGACGAGUGAAACCGAUAUCGCGACCGAUCUACAUCACGCGAUCGUCUGUUCUCGUUUACAAAAUGUAUCGACAUAUUCCUUUCUCCGCUCCGGUGAUCUACUUCUCGAGUAUCCUAUUUUGAAUGUGUAUGCGUACGAUCCGUGGAAAACGGAGACGGGCAGACGAACGAGAAGGAUCGAAGCUGCGCUCGGGCUGUCGCGAGUGCGCAAAUAUCGCAAAGUUCUGGAAAUUUUCACGCGAGAGAAGGACCCCGGUGGUGCAACGAUUUACGCGAACGGCGCCCCCCCCCCCCACCCCCAAACAUCAACCUCAAUUUCGGUAAAUUGCUCGCUGUCGAUCGCCACGGGGACACAUAGGCGGCGGCGCGACGUCCAACGGAGAGGCCCGAGAGUGUACCUGUCGUCGACCUAAUAAGAUACCUGUUCCGCUGCGAGCCACGCUCCGGUCAAACGAAGAACCUGGAGAAGACUUCUUGGUAUCUACGGACCGUCGACGUCGAUCCUCGGACCACCUAACGAAGCAACAACGUCGACGCAAGUUUACCCGAGUCUUAGGAUCCGCAAGAACAAUCGACGUCCGUCCUCCGUCAACAACCUAAAAGCGGUCGUCGAGCUCGUCGAGCACCGAAGACCGAUAGUUCCCCCGUGAAACGAGCAACCCUUCUAAACGGUGCACACGCGGUUUACGUAUCAGAGACGUCGUUCGAUUAACAUUAGAUUGCACUUGGCGAGAGCGUCGGUCCAGGUAGACCGAGGUUCGUUUCAUCCAGGCCGCGUGUAUCGCCGAGCCUCGGGUUUAGGAAUUUACGAUUAAGCCCGUUGUCGAGUCGAAUCGAAUCGAAUCGAAUCGAAUCGCGGCCCGUCGAAAACGCUAUAACCGCGUGCCUCGGGUCUAAUCGAUAGUUCUUGUUUGGAUUUAACGUGCCGCCCUUCCACCCUUUUACCCUUCCUCCCCGCCCCGUCCGACCGCGCAAACGAACCCCGAUGUUUGGCCGUUAGUUUAUUUAUUCGGCCGCGCUCGAACCACUUUCUCGUUCGCGGCUAAUUCGCGACUCCGUGAAUCGAGAUCUAUUAAUUUUCGUCGGCGUCUUCUCGUCGCCGAGGUCUCUCUCUCUCUCUCUCUCUGCUUUCGUUUGUCAAAAUCUCGGCACAAUUUUCGGAGAAGAAAACUCCCAGAAUUGCUGCUCGGAAAUAGUUGAGGAAGAGGACCAGUCUCGUUCGUACAUUCGUGUUAAUAAAUAAAUUCGCGCUCGCGUUCUUCAACGCGGAACUCGUAGAUUCGCUUCUCGUUUAGAGCUUCGUUCUCUCGGGAAGGGAACGUUGCAAGCGGACGCAAAGGAGCGAGGAUCGAGCGCAGCCGAACGAUCGCUAGAUAUUAAGACGAAUUAAUUGUCCAUCGCAGCAACGUGCCGAUGUAAACUAUUAUAGAAAGCAACGCAAUCGCGAAUUGAAUUGCUCCUAUAAAUUAUUUGUCUCGCGCGGCUGUAAGAACGCUCCGCGAACGCGUAGAAUCGGGAUCGUCGAUCAAUCGAUGAUUCGAGUGUUCUUUAAUUAGAAAAUUCUCUUCCGCUGUACUCGGGGAGCAGUGGAUACAGCCAGAGAAACGAGCGAUGCGUCGCGGGCGGCGCUAAUUAGCGGCCGGUCAUUAACAAAACACGGUAACCGUGGAACCGAUGCGGUGGCUUAUCAUUAUUAAUUAUCGUCCGUCAACGACGGAUCCCGGCUCCCUUUUUUUCUGCCCGAUAACGCCGAAACGGUAAACAAAAGGGACGAUAAAAAAGCGCAUCAAAGAAUCCGGUUUACGGUGGAUAAUUCCUCGGGUAAGAACCGCGAUCGAUAAUCGAUCGUUGCCGGCAAUAAUGGUAGCGGGGCACGCCGAUCUAUAUUGUCGUUAAUCACCCGCUAAUUAACGGCACGGUAAUUGCUCGCGAGGCGUCUCGCUCGUGCACGCGCGCUCGCGAGCGUUCGCGAGCGUUCGCGAGCUCAUCUGGCGCGGAAUUAAAAAUUCGAAAAGAACGGACAAACCGAGCGCGAAGUCGAAUUACAAAGAAAUUGUUUUUACGACGAUUAUUCCGGCGGUCCCGCGAACGACGCGACACCGUGAUCAGGAACUAAUUACUUGAGGCUAACGAGCGCGAGCGUCCUCGUUAAUUAUACAGGUGUCGUUAAUUAUUGCCGCGCGCGCGCGCGCGCGCUCGUUAACAUUGUUGCGUUAUCGAAAAGAAACAGGACGGACCAGGGAAGAAACAUUUUACGUGGAAACGCGUCGAUUUGCAACCGGUGCGUAAUUCUGCUCGAUGAUCGACGACGGUUUCGCGAAACACAGACGGUGUUUCGGUCGACGAUCGGGUCCGUCGACGGCCGACGGCCGACGAGAGAUCUGGCAAUUUUCUGAAGCGGACAACGCACAGUUUUUUUUGUUACGCUCGAGCAGUCGUUUCCGCGCGUUCUCUGUAAUCACUAGCUCGAAUUAAAUAUUCCGCAGCUUUUCGUUUCGUUUCGUUUCGUUUCGAAACCGCGGACGCGUUCGAAUCCGGAAAAAUUAGUUAAAAAUCCGUGACGGGGAAGGUUCGCGCGGCGCGUUCGUUUAAUUAAUCUAUGAACGCGUUCGUUAAAAAAUACACCGGAGAAAUUAAUUAAAACCGGAGGGGGACAGAAUGAGAUGAAACGAACGUGUGGCGGCCGACUAAUGAGCCGAGCGAAAUUAUUAAUAUAAUGUACUCUAGCCGUGAAACGAAUAAAGAUAAUUAAUCGUA